rnacentral:rRNA from 1 species
GACGAACGCUGGCGGCGUGCCUAACACAUGCAAGUCGAACGAGGUCCAUGGAGUGGCAACACUCCGGAAGACCUAGUGGCGAACGGGUGAGUAACACGUGAGGAACUUGCCCCGGAGACCGGGAUAAGCCCCCGAAAGGGGGUCUAAUACCGGAUGUCCUCACCGAGUCGCAUGGCUUGGUGAGGAAAUGGAUUCCGCUCCGGGAGAGCCUCGCGGCCUAUCAGCUUGGUGGUGGGGUAACGGCCCACCAAGGCAUCGACGGGUAGCUGGUCUGAGAGGACGGUCAGGCACACUGGGACUGAGACACGGGCCAGACUCCGACGGGAGGCAGCAGUGGGGAAGCUUGCGCAAUGGGCGAGAGCCUGACGCAGCAGCGCCGCGUGCGGGAUGAAGGCCCUCGGGUUGUAAACCGCUUUCAGUGGGGACGAACCAAGACGGUACCCACAGAAGAAGGUCCGGCCAACUACGUGCCAGCCGCCGCAGUAACAC